rnacentral:rRNA from 1 species
UACGUAGGGUGCAAGCGUUGUCCGGAAUUAUUGGGCGUAAAGAGCUCGUAGGCGGUCUGUCGCGUCUGCUGUGAAAUCCCGGGGCUCAACCCCGGGCUUGCAGUGGAUACGGGCAGACUAGAGUUCGGUAGGGGAGACUGGAAUUCCUGGUGUAGCGGUGAAAUGCGCAGAUAUCAGGAGGAACACCGGUGGCGAAGGCGGAUCUCUGGGCCAUUACUGACGCCGAGGAGCGAAAGCGUGGGGAGCGAACAGG